CAAUAAUGUGUUUACAAAUGAUUGGGACUCACACAGGGAAGAGAAACCACUGCUUAUGCCAUAUGUGUUUCACUGUGCUCAGAGCGAGCUGCUGAAAACCAGACUUUGUUCCUGAGAAAUCACUGGGAAAGAAGUUCUACUCAUCAUAGAGGGGAAAAUUUGGAAGUACGGAAAAUUCUCCAUACUCUGUUCUGGGACAUGACUGAUCUUUAAAACACAAUUCCUCUUAAAGUUCCUAGUAAUUUCUGUUGUAGCACCAUACCAAAUGCUUUACUGAAAUACAAACUGUCUUACAUUUCUAAGAAAUUUCUGUUAAUAUCAAAGGAAGAUGUGGAUGUUCUUGCACAAAGUAUCUCUGAUGAAGCCCUGUCCACUUUUUACCUGUUCAUUUCUCACCUGCAUGUAGCCUCCUGCUCUCAAUUCUUCUUUCCUUUAAAGUAUUCCUGAGAUCAGGCAAAUGCCCUUUUUUGCCUGGAUCACACUUCCCUCUGUUAUCUCUGGGUGCCACGUUCAAAAUUUGCCAGUAAUACAGUGCUUGACAGCUUUACUAACAGAUUGUUACCAGGCUUACUGUUUAACAGGCCAAUUUAAAAAAUAAAGUAAAAAUGGGGUGUGAGUUACCUUGUGAUUUGA